rnacentral:rRNA from 1 species
AUGUCUGUCCAGCCGAUGGAUGUCUUGAAAGAUGAUGCCCCCACAGGGGUAACGAUAAAGACGUCGCCAUCAUCCGAUCCAAGAGGCCCCUCAACGCCUCCAACGAGGGCUACCACGCCCUCGGGCGCCGCCAUCAAUGGUAGCCUCCUCCAGAUGUUUCCCCCGGAAACAAUGGAGCGAGGGACGCCCCACCAUCGCCUCCAACGAGGAAAACAACACCCACGAGCGCCGCUGACGAUGGUGGCAUCUUCACCCACUUCAGCAGCUAGGCCACCAUCUCCUCCUCCAGUUGAUCAGCCGCGGGAAGCCACCGCGAGGCAACACCCACCGACCAGAUCCCUUUGGAUCGACGAUGAAGACAACCAAGGUAGAGGAGGUCACAUCGCUGCGUGA